UACGCAGCUAAUCAACGUCAGGCGUCCUGAUGUGCAGCCAUCGUUGUUCUCAUAGAUAUGAAUGAGUAGAUAGGACACGCCCCUUUGAGCUGCGUGCUACAGCGAGGCUAAGCUAGUGGGGGCAAAGUUUCAGUGCAUUCCGUUGAUGUAGACGGCGUGAAAACGUAAACAACAAGUAUGCCGUCUCACUGUGCUGCAUACAGUUACACACUACGUCGUACGAUUGAGACAAGGAAACUUGGAAUGACUUUUCAUAGGUUUCCCAGAGACUAUGGGUUGAGGAGGAAUUGGAAGUUUGUCGGCUUAGACCUGGUGUCAUUCCAUCAGUGUUAAACUUCCCGGCUCAUCUUGGAAGAGUACGUGCCAGAAAGACCACAACCAAGCAGCCUUGAGAUCUUAGACAGCGUCUCCCUGAGGUCCCUCUCUAUCUCCCCACACAUCCACCAACCACUGGAACACAUCUCCAAAGUUCUGCAGGUCCAGCUCAGCUUCCCCUCAGAAGAAGUGCUGCCACCUGCCAGAUGAAGGAGCCUUUUGAGAGGCAGCUGGCAUCGUGAUUGGACUGUACUUUGGUCUGUUCCAAUCCAGCUUCAGCUCCAGAGACGGCAGGCGGGACGAGUCAACGGAGGCUGGAUGGACGAAGGUAUGCAGCUGAGUACAAUCCAGAAAACAACAGAGGAGGAGUGCAGCAGCCCAGGACCAGAACAAACAGAGUAGCAUCGUAUGUCUCUUAGAAAACAUCAUAGUAGAGCCUUUGGUAUGAAAAAACACCAUCAUAUACAUCGUAUAUUGUACAAAUAACAAGUCAAAGGAAAGAGACAUACAUUGUAGAAUUGUAGUAAUUGUGGGCUGACUGAUUUCAUUUUUUACUGAUUUACGGUAAUAAAUACAUUUAAAAAUGACGCUACUUUGGCUCUGAACCUUUAUCUACCUGUGGUCGCUCUGUCUUCUGGAGUGAUUUGAUUGGUUAUACGUAACGAAUAAAACUCCUUUAACUUAACAUCUGUAAACAAAACAAAAACGUAUCAACAAAGUUUUCUGUUAGAGUUUGUGUUCUUCUAAGUUUAACUCAAGAUUUUAAAUAUUUUCAUUUACUGCAAAUGAAUAUCUACUCCAAAUGUUUCACUAAUAAUCAUUAUCAGCCUUAAAAACCCACAAAACACCCCUUUUUACUCGACCACACUUAGUACAGUCCGGUUCCCUCUUCUAUAAAUCUGCUUGGAAUCUUCCACUUCCUGUUUGUCAAAGUGGCCUUCUACCUGGACAGGUUUUGUUGGAGCUCAUGCAACAA